UACGUAGGGGGCUAGCGUUGUCCGGAAUCAUUGGGCGUAAAGAGCGUGUAGGCGGUCCGGUAAGUCGGCUGUGAAAGUCAAAGGGCUCAACCCUUGAAUGCCGGUGGAUACUGUCGGGCUAGAGUCCGGAAGAGGCGAGUGGAAUUCCUGGUGUAGCGGUGAAAUGCGCAGAUAUCAGGAGGAACACCAAUGGCGAAGGCAGCUCGCUGGGACGGUACUGACGCUGAGGCGCGAAAGCGUGGGGAGCAAACAGG
rnacentral:rRNA from 1 species